rnacentral:rRNA from 1 species
GACGAACGCUGGCGGCGUGCCUAACACAUGCAAGUCGAACGGAGAUACUGAGGUAGCUUGCUACUUUGGUAUCUUAGUGGCGGACGGGUGAGUAACACGUGGGUAACCUACCCUAAAGAGGGGGAUAACACCGAGAAAUCGGUGCUAAUACCGCAUAAUAUUAGUACUUCGCAUGAAGUACUAAUCAAAGGAGGAAUCCGCUUUAGGAUGGGCCCGCGGCUGAUUAGCUAGUUGGUGAGGUAACGGCUCACCAAGGCGACGAUCAGUAGCCGAUCUGAGAGGAUGACCGGCCACACUGGAACUGAGACACGGUCCAGACUCCUACGGGAGGCAGCAGUGGGGAAUAUUGCACAAUGGGGGAAACCCUGAUGCAGCGACGCCGCGUGGAGGAAGAAGGUCUUCGGAUUGUAAACUCCUGUCAUUCGGGACGAAUAAUGACGGUACCGGAUGAGGAAGCCACGGCUAACUACGUG